UACGUAGGGGGCAAGCGUUGUCCGGAAUCAUUGGGCGUAAGCGCGCGUAGGCGGCCCGGUAAGUCCGCUCUGAAAGUCCAGGGCUCAACCCUGGAAAGCGGGUGGAUACUGCCGGGCUAGAAUCCGGAAGAGGCGAGUGGGAAUCCUGGUGUAGCGGUGGAAUGCGCAGAUAUCAGGAGGAACACCCGUGGCGAAAGCGGCUCGUCGCGGGACGGUACCUGA
rnacentral:rRNA from 1 species